GACGAACCGUGCGAACGUUGUUCGGAAUCACUGGGCUUAAAGGGCGCGUAGGCGGGUGUGCAAGUCUGUGGUGAAAGCCUCCAGCUUAACUGGAGAAGUGCCAUGGAUACUGCACAUCUUGAGGAGGGUAGGGGCAUCUGGAACGGUCGGUGGAGCGGUGAAAUGCGUUGAUAUCGACCGGAACUCCGGUGGCGAAGGCGAGGUGCUGGACCCUUUCUGACGCUGAGGCGCGAAAAGCGUGGGGAGCAAACAGGG
rnacentral:rRNA from 1 species